rnacentral:rRNA from 1 species
UACAGAGGUCUCAAGCGUUGUUCGGAUUCAUUGGGCGUAAAGGGUGCGUAGGUGGCGAGGUAAGUCGGAUGUGAAAUCCCGGGGCUCAACCCCGGAACUGCAUUCGAUACUGCCCCGCUAGAGUACUGGAGAGGAGAUUGGAAUUUACGGUGUAGCAGUGAAAUGCGUAGAUAUCGUAAGGAAGACCAGUGGCGAAGGCGGAUCUCUGGACAGUUACUGACACUGAGGCACGAAGGCCAGGGGAGCAAACGGG